GUGCGUAGGAAUAGAGUUCCAUCUGUGGAACUCUCUAAUGCAAACCAAUUAAAAUCUCCAAACAACCCUCUGAGAGACCCAAGAGCUGUAACAUCUUGGUAAAACACAGAAUGGCGAGGAAUCGCAGCCCAGGCACAACUCUGAGGAAAUCCUGUCUGGUUUUCAGUUGCCAUGGUACACCCAAUCUUGUCUGUCUCCAGCAGCAAAAGCACAGCCACCAACAGCUUUAAACAGUGUUGAGAGCACUCUGGUACCUCACAGAAGAGAGGAAGAGGAAUGGGAAUGCCUCAUUUCUAAAGUUUUGGGUAUGGCUGGAUAUCUUGGCAAUGAGCAAAGUAAAAGCCUUAUGACGGUAAUUUUGUUCUAAAGCUUUUCAACA